GACCCGGUAGGGGAGGAUACCGUGCCCGCCCCUAAUAGGGAAGUUAAGACAUCCAGUUUAUGAGCGCGGGAAACUUUGGUUAGACUCCAGGCUGGGUCA